CUUGAGUGUUUCUGGGAGGUGUGGGGAGGAGCCUCCCAGGUGCCGUCAACCCUGCUUCUCUGCGCCUUCUGCUGGUUGAGAGCCACACACGCUUGAGGAGCCAGGGGUGGAGCUGUGUUCUCAGGCAUGCUGACCAGGUCGGAGCCAUUCUGUGCUCGGUAUAGAGGCACUGAAUGAAGAAAGGAAACAGAAUAAAACUCCCUUUAGCUGCGAAUGUGUUGGUGGGCACUCAAGUCCAGACUGACUUAGAGACACCCACCAGGGCCGCAGACUUGCCCACGGAAUCCCUGGUCCCUGGUCUCCUGGCCAAGGUGCUGAGCUUCGGAUUCGGUGUCCUUCGGUCUGCCACCUGGGCACUACCUGGUUCCCCUGCUCCAGCGGAAACCUGUGAAACCCUACCCCUACGCGUGGUCUCAGAACUCUUACACUUCUCUCAGGGUCCAGAAACUUCUGUGUUGUCCAAUUCAAGUGGUUCCUGCAACUCCUCCAUUUAAAGAGGGGCCCAGCUUAAUUCUUAGAAUAAUAAACUGUUUUGUGCUAUCCCGUCAUACAGCUGAGGAAACAGAGGCAUAGAGGCCAGGGCUCAAGGCUGGUAAGCAGCAGAGGCAGAAUUUGGGUGUGGAUGGCCUGGCUUCAGUCCCUGCCCCUGCCUGCUCUGCUGUGUUGCUCUUGGUCUGUGACACGGAGGCUCCUCACUUCUGCUCACCCCUAGGUAUAAGUAAGCAUAUCCCAGCUUUAAAAAAUAAAGUGCCGCUCUUCUUUUCUGGGGUACAGUGAAGGUUAUUAUUGUUGUCUAAUUGCUAAGUUGUGUCCAACUCUUUCGCAGCCCCAUGGACUGUAGCCUGCCAGACUCCUCUGUCCAUGGGAUUUCCCAGGUUUAUGAAUACUGGAGUGGGUUGCCAUUUCCUUCUCCAGGGAUCUAUUCUUCCUGACCCUGGGAUCGAACCCAGUCUCCUGCAUUGGCAGGCAGGUUCUUUCCACUGAGCCACUCAUGGAAGCCUGUAGACAGUGAGGGAAGAAAUAUUAAUUCUCAAAAUUUUUCUUUCUAACCCACUGUUACAUACCUAGUGAAAAACAGUAUGUUGCUUUGAAAACUGCAUUAACUUAAGGUCCUCAUAUCUUAAGUUUUCUCAUAUUAAAUUGGGGAUAGUCCUUCAACUGUGAUUUUGCCUCUGUGUUUUACUUCAUCAAUAUUUGGUGAUAUGAGAAAAGAGGCAUUAUCUAAGAAGGUGUUUGGAAUCUUCAGGAAAAAAAAAAAACUGUGUGAUAUUAUAAGAAGAAAAUUGAUGCACAGCAGAUACUAUAAGUGGUAAAAUGAAUUUUAACUUUGGUGUCCCUGUAUGCUCCCUAUCCAGUUCUUGGUAAAAUAU
ensembl:lncRNA